AUUACACAAUAUGAAAGCGGGCUGGCAUCCUUCGGGGUUACAGCCUUGCUGAAUUAUUCACCCGUGUCUUUUGCGUACUUCUUGUUUCCUUGGUGGGUUCGCCCACCAUAGGACAAACCAUAAACCUUUUGUAAUUGCAAUCAGCGUCAGUAAAAAAAUUAAUAAUUACAACUUUUAACAACGGAUCUCUUGGUUCUGGCAUCGAUGAAGAACGCAGCGAAAUGCGAUAAGUAGUGUGAAUUGCAGAAUUCAGUGAAUCAUCGAAUCUUUGAACGCACAUUGCGCCCUUUGGUAUUCCAAAGGGCAUGCCUGUUCGAGCGUCAUUUGUACCCUCAAGCUUUGCUUGGUGUUGGGCGUCUUGUCUCCAGUUCGCUGGAGACUCGCCUUAAAGUAAUUGGCAGCCGGCCUACUGGUUUCGGAGCGCAGCACAAGUCGCGCUCUCUUCCAGCCAAGGUCAGCAUCCACAAAGCCUUUUUUCAACUUUUGACCUCGGAUCAGGUAGGGAUACCCGCUGAACUUAAGCAUAUCAA
rnacentral:rRNA from 1 species